rnacentral:misc_RNA from 1 species
GACAAGUUGAUUCCUGUAUAACAAGACGCGCGUCCGCAUUAUCAUUAAUAUUAUCGGCCGGUCUCUCGUAAUAUAUAGAAUGUACAUAUACGACAAGUGUAGUUUAAUACAUCGGAAGAAGCAUCAACUCAGAAGUGCGACUUCCUACCCGCGCCAUCGAGUCCAAGGACUCGCUUCGCCAUGCCUCAUCGACCUGCACCACCAACACGAGUGUAAUAUUGACAAGUUGGUAAUGUUCAAGACGUUGCGUAUCGCCCUAUAUCCCAUGCCAAGUAAUUUUGGGUCAAUAAGUGAGUAAACCUCAUAAGUUACAUGGCUUGGACGAGUUGUACGAGUAUCCUGCCAAAUUUCUUGUUUCAUGC